UGUACCUUUAAGAGGGAAUGCUCUAAGGGAGGGGCUGCUAGUUAGGUGACCGGAAGUCACAAGCACGUUAUUCACAUGGAGAGCAUGCAGGAUCGACAGCUUGAUCAGCUCUUCCAUUAAGAUGCAGUUCCACAUCUUCUUGUUUGUUAAAGCAACGUCUUUUCACGAAAUUACCAUUAAACUACAUGAGUAAUCCUCAA